rnacentral:misc_RNA from 1 species
GAUGAAGAACGCAGCGAAAUGCGAUAAGUAGUGUGAAUUGCAGAAUUCAGUGAAUCAUCGAAUCUUUGAACGCACAUUGCGCCCCUUGGUAUUCCAUGGGGCAUGCCUGUUCGAGCGUCAUUUGUACCUUCAAGCUCUGCUUGGUGUUGGGUGUUUGUCCUUGCUCUAGUGGCGGGACUCGCCUUAAAGUAAUUGGCAGCCAGUGUUUUGGUUUUGAAGCGCAGCACACGUCGCGAUUCAAGUCUAUACGCUAGUUUCCACAAGUCUUUUAUCACUUUUGACCUCGGACCAGGUAGGGAUACCCGCUGAACUUAAGCAUAUCAAUAAGCGGAGGA